rnacentral:rRNA from 1 species
CCUACGGGNAGGCAGCAGUAGGGANGUCAAUGGGGGCCAGCGCGACGACGNAUCUUCCGUGGGGGAUGAAGACCCUCCGGUCGUAAACUCCUUGACCGAGGUGAACNUCCUUGGGGAUAAUACCCCGGGGGACUGUCAGUANCGGGCGUNGAAGCCCNGGCUAACUCCGUNCCAGCAGCCGGGGUAAUACGGGGGGGGCAAGCUUUGUUUGGAAUUAAUGGGCGUAAAGGGUCGGUAGGCGGCCAACUAAGUCAGACGUUAAAUCCCCCGUUAACCNGGGAANUCCGUGUGAUANUGGUUGGCUUGAGUGCAGGAGAGGAACGCGGAAUUCCAGGUGUAGCGGUGAAAUGNGUGGAUAUAUGGAGGAACCCCCNUGNCGAGGGNGGCCUUCUGGCAGGAAACCGACGGAGGGAGGAAAGCCAGGGGAGCAAACAAGAUUGGAUACCCCGGUAGUCNCCCCCAACACGAAUGCAUGGUGUGGCUGGUUCUNCNUCCGUGCGGAGUNAUAAGCCCNC